rnacentral:rRNA from 1 species
GACGUAGGGCGCGAGCGUUGUCCGGAUUUAUUGGGCGUAAAGAGCUCGUAGGCGGCUUGUUGCGUCGACCGUGAAAACCCGGGGCUCGACUUCGGGCUUGCGGUCGAUACGGGCGGGCCAGAGUUCGGUAGGGGAGACUGGAAUUCCUGGUGUAGCGGUGAAAUGCGCAGAUAUCAGGAGGAACACCGGUGGCGAAGGCGGGUCUCUGGGCCGAUACUGACGCUGAGGAGCGAAAGCGUGGGGAGCGAACAGG